rnacentral:rRNA from 1 species
UUCCCGGCCUUGUACACACCGCCCGUCACACCACGAAAGUCGGCAAUACCCGAAGCCGGUGGCCCAACCCGCAAGGGAGGGAGCCGUCGAAGGUAGGGUCGAUGAUUGGGUG